rnacentral:rRNA from 1 species
AGCGAACGUUAGCGGCGCGCCUAACACAUGCAAGUCGCACGAGAAAGGGGGCAACCCCCGGUACAGUGGCGCACGGGUGAGUAACACGUGGAUUACCUGCCCUGGAGUGGUGGAUAACCUGCCGAAAGGUGGGCUAAUACAGCAUGAGACCACGCGGUUUCGAUCGUGAGGUCAAAGCGGGCUUCUGUUCACAAGCUCGCGCUCUAGGAUGGGUCCGCGGCCCAUCAGCUAGUUGGUAGGGUAACGGCCUACCAAGGCUACGACGGGUAGCUGGUCUGAGAGGAUGGCCAGCCACACUGGAACUGAGACACGGUCCAGACUCCUACGGGAGGCAGCAGUGGGGAAUCUUGCGCAAUGGACGAAAGUCUGACGCAGCGACGCCGCGUGGGUGACGAAGGCCUCGG